GACGAACGCUGGCGGCGUGCUUAACACAUGCAAGUCGAACGGAAAGGCCCUGCUUUUGUGGGGUGCUCGAGUGGCGAACGGGUGAGUAACACGUGAGUAACCUGCCCUUGACUUUGGGAUAACUUCAGGAAACUGGGGCUAAUACCGGAUAGGAGCUCCUGCUGCAUGGUGGGGGUUGGAAAGUUUCGGCGGUUGGGGAUGGACUCGCGGGUUAUCAGCUUGUUGGUGGGGUAGUGGCUUACCAAGGCUUUGACGGGUAGCCGGCCUGAGAGGGUGACCGGCCACAUUGGGACUGUGAUACGGCCCAGACUCCUACGGGAGGCAGCAGUGGGGAAUAUUGCACUAUGGGCGGAAGCCUGAUGCAGCAACGCCGCGUGCGGGAUGACGGCCUUCGGGUUGUAAACCGCUUUCGCCUGUGACGAAGCGUGAGUGACGGUAAUGGGUAAAGAAGCACCGGCUAACUACGUG
rnacentral:rRNA from 1 species